rnacentral:rRNA from 1 species
UAGGGAAUCUUCGGCAAUGGACGAAAGUCAGACCGAGCAACGCCGCGUGAGAGAAGAAGGUUUUCGGAUCGUAAAACUCUGUUGUUAGAGAAGAACAAGGACGUUAGUAACUGAACGUCACCUGACGGUAUCUAACCAGAAAGCCACGGCUAACUACGUGCCAGCAGCCGCGGUAAUACGUAGGUGGCAAGCGUUGUCCGGAUUUAUUGGGCGUAAAGCGAGCGCAGGCGGUUUCUUAAGUCUGCUGUGAAAGCCCCCGGCUCAACCGGGGAGAGUGCUUGGAAACUGGGAGACUUGAGUGCAGAAGAGGAGAGUGGAAUUCCAUGUGUAGCGGUGAAAUGCGUAGAUAUAUUGAGGAACACCAGUUGCGAAGGCGGCUCUCUGGUCUGUAACUGACGCUGAGGCUCGAAAGCGUGGGGAGCAAACAGG